AAUAAAUCCCAACCUUCAAUUGCACGUCAAUUACACGACACAACAUCUUCCUUGGAAGACUGUAAUUAGGCAUUUGCUUAUCAGCAUCUUGAUUAGUAGAAGCUUCCACCUAAUUAAAACCCAAGAAUUCAAAGAAUUAAUCAAUUGCUUCAACUUUCCCCAAAAAUUGACCAAGUAAACUACUGUAGCAACCCAAAUUGACCGAGAAAAAUCCAAGAACAGCAACAAUCAUCAAGUCAUCAUUUUCCAGUAGUAAGUACCUUUAUCUCAAGAUCAACUAGGUGGAUCCAUUAUUCCUUUUUGAAGUAAUUCAAGAUGACAAAUGCUUAUAAAAGUUUCAUGUUUUCCUUGCAAUGGCAACUUCACAAAGAAAGACCAGGGAGGCGAUUGCGGCGCUUGAGAACGCCAUGUUGAAAGCUGAAAUCGUGGACCGUGAAUGCCCACUUUGCAAGACGCGUGGAGGCAAAGCCAAUGUCCGGCCAUUUCGCAUGUUUCUUGUACAUUUUUUCUACGAACAUGGUGGCUGGACAUUGUGCGAAGAAUAUUUUGAGCCAGUGAAAAUAAAACUGGCUCACGCACAUGUUUGUGCCCUUGAGUAGGACAUACGAAGUAUGACUUAGAAGCGAAUUGUAGUGUUGAUUUUAGCCUGAUUUGGACUUGGGUUCAUGAGUAAGAAACUUGUUUUUCUAUGGAGUAUGUAUAAGACGAGUUAUGAUCUUUAGGAGAGUUACUAGAAAAGGGCUUUUUUGUUGAA